rnacentral:lncRNA from 1 species
CCUCACUUGGGUAUGAUCUUUUCUUAGAUUUUGGUACAGUGGUAGUCUGCAUUACCUUUCGCGAGUAACUUCUGCUUUCUCCUACUGAUCCUCCGCCGAAGAUUAAAUUUAUCACUCUUCUCUUGUGGUCAGUGUCUGAGUCGGGACUUCUCGAGCGUUGGCGCUUACCCUUGUUAUUCGGGUCCUUGCAACCUUGUCGCCCCCUUUCUACUUUAUUUAUAUAUUGCUUUAGCUUUCCUUCCUUUACCU